GCGGCGGACGGGUGAGUAACACGUGGGCAACCUGCCCGCAAGACCGGGAUAACUCCGGGAAACCGGAGCUAAUACCGGAUAACACCGAAGACCGCAUGGUCUUCGGUUGAAAGGCGGCCUUUGGGCUGUCACUUGCGGAUGGGCCCGCGGCGCAUUAGCUAGUUGGUGAGGUAACGGCUCACCAAGGCGACGAUGCGUAGCCGGCCUGAGAGGGUGACCGGCCACACUGGGACUGAGACACGGCCCAGACUCCUACGGGAGGCAGCAGUAGGGAAUCUUCCGCAAUGGGCGAAAGCCUGACGGAGCGACGCCGCGUGAGCGAAGAAGGCCUUCGGGUCGUAAAGCUCUGUUGUGAGGGACGAAGGAGCGCCGUUUGAAGAAGGCGGCGCGGUGACGGUACCUCACGAGAAAGCCCCGGCUAACUACGUGCCAUCAGCCGCGGUAAUAC
rnacentral:rRNA from 1 species